UACGUAGGGGGCUAGCGUUGUCCGGAAUCAUUGGGCGUAAAGAGCGUGUAGGCGGCCUGGUAAGUCCGCUGUAAAAGUCAAAGGCUCAACCUUUGAAUGUCAGUGGAUACUGCCGGGCUAGAGUCCGGAAGAGGCGAGUGGAAUUCCCGGUGUAGCGGUGAAAUGCGCAGAUAUCGGGAGGAACACCAAUGGCGAAGGCAGCUCGCUGGGACGUGACUGACGCUGAGACGCGAAAGCGUGGGGAGCAAACAGG
rnacentral:rRNA from 1 species